rnacentral:rRNA from 1 species
GUCCACGCCCUAAAACGAUGUCUACUAGUUGUUGGUGGAGUAAAAUCCAUGAGUAACGCAGCUAACGCGUGAAGUAGACCGCCUGGGGAGUACGGUCGCAAGAUUAAAACUCAAAUGAAUUGACGGGGGCCCGCACAAGCGGUGGAUUAUGUGGAUUAAUUCGAUGCAACGCGAAAAACCUUACCUGGCCUUGACAUGUACCGAAUUUGGGAGAGAUUCCUUAGUGCUCGAAAGAGAACGGUAACACAGGUGCUGCAUGGCUGUCGU